UCCUACGGGUGGCAGCAGUGGGGAAUCUUGCACAAUGGGGGAAACCCUGAUGCAGCGACGCCGCGUGAGCGAUGAAGCCCUUCGGGGUGUAAAGCUCUUUCGGCAGGGACGAUCAUGACGGUACCUGCAGAAGCAGCUGCGGCUAACUACGUGCCAGCAGCCGCGGUAAUACGUAGGCAGCGAGCGUUGUUCGGAGUUACUGGGCGUAAAGGGUGUGUAGGCGGUUGCUUAAGUUUGGUGUGAAAUCUCCCGGCUCAACUGGGAGGGUGCGCCGAAUACUGAGGGACUAGAGUGCGGGAGAGGAGAGUGGAAUUCCUGGUGUAGCGGUGAAAUGCGUAGAUAUCAGGAGGAACACCGGCGGUGUAGACGGCUCUCUGGACCGUAACUGACGCUGAGACACGAAAGCGUGGGUAGCAAACAGGAUUAGAUACCCUAGUAGUCC
rnacentral:rRNA from 1 species